CAUUACUUUCAAGAUCAUCUGAUAAGAUUAGAACAAUACAUAGAAGAUUAGCAUGACUUUUGCAUGAUGAGGAUGACAUACACAAAUUGAGAAAUGGUCUAAAUUUUU
rfam:Cajanus cajan Scaffold133529_2, whole genome shotgun sequence.